CACGUUGUAGCUCAGAGGUAGAGCAUUUGCCUACCAUGUGCAAGGCCCUGGGUUCAAUCCCUAACAGUGUAA
rnacentral:tRNA from 1 species